GACGAACGCUGGCGGCGUGCUUAACACAUGCAAGUCGAACGGAAAGGCCCUGCUUUUGUGGGGUUCUCGGGUGGCGAACGGGUGCGUAACACGUGAGUAACCUGCCCUUGACUUUGGGAUAACUUCAGGAAACUGGGGCUAAUACCGGAUAGCAUCUCCUGCUGCAUGGUGAGGGUUGGAACUUUGCGGCGGUUGGGGAUGGACGCGCGGCUUAUCAGCUUGUUGGUGGAGUAGUGGUUUACCAAGGCUGUGACGGAUAGCCGGCAUGAGAGGGUGAACGGCCACAAGGGGACUGAGAGACGGACCAGACUGCUACGGGAGGCAGCAGGGGGGAAUAUUGCACAAUGGGCGGAAGCCUGAUGCAGAAACGCCGCGUGCGGGAUGACGGCCUUCGGGGUGUAAACCGCUUUAGCCUGUGACGAAGCGGGAGUGACGGUAAUGGGUAAAGAAGCACCGGCUAACUACGUG
rnacentral:rRNA from 1 species